rnacentral:rRNA from 1 species
GGUAGCCGGCCUGAGAGGGCGACCGGCCACACUGGGACUGAGACACGGCCCAGACUCCUACGGGAGGCAGCAGUGGGGAAUAUUGCACAAUGGGCGAAAGCCUGAUGCAGCGACGCCGCGUGAGGGAUGACGGCCUUCGGGUUGUAAACCUCUUUCAGCAGGGAAGAAGCGAAAGUGACGGUACCUGCAGAAGAAGCGCCGGCUAACUACGUGCCAGCAGCCGCGGUAAUACGUAGGGCGCAAGCGUUGUCCGGAAUUAUUGGGCGUAAAGAGCUCGUAGGCGGCUUGUCACGUCGGUUGUGAAAGCCCGGGGCUUAACCCCGGGUCUGCAGUCGAUACGGGCAGGCUAGAGUUCGGUAGGGGAGAUCGGAAUUCCUGGUGUAGCGGUGAAAUGCGCAGAUAUCAGGAGGAACACCGGUGGCGAAGGCGGAUCUCUGGGCCGAUACUGACGCUGAGGAGCGAAAGCGUGGGGAGCGAACAGGAUUAGAUACCCUGGUAGUCCACGCCGUAAACGGUGGGCACUAGGUGUGGGCAACAUUCCACGUUGUCCGUGCCGCAGCUAACGCAUUAAGUG